rnacentral:rRNA from 1 species
CCCUUAGACGUUCGGGGCCGCACGCGCGCUACACUGAAGGAAUCAGCACGUCUUUCUCCUUGUCCGAAAGGACUGGGUAACCCGCUGAACCUCCUUCGUGCUAGGGAUUGGGGCUUGUAAUUCUUCCCCAUGAACGAGGAAUUCCCAGUAAGCGCGAGCCAUAAGCUCGCGUUGAUUACGUCCCUGCCCUUUGUACACACCGCCCGUCGCUACUACCGAUUGGAUGGUUUAGUGAGAUCCUCGGAUUGGUCCCGGCGCGGCCUCUGGUCGUGCCGGAGUGCCGAAAAGAAUGUCGAACUUGAUCAUCUAGAGGAAGUAAAAGGCGUAACA